AUUGAACGCUGGCGGCAGGCCUAACACAUGAAAGUCGAGCGAGCGGCGGACGGGUGGGUAAUGUAUGGGGAUCUGCCCGAUAGAGGGGGAUAACUACUGGCAAAGGUGGCUAAUACCGCAUACUAUCGGAUGACCCCAUAGGGGAUUAGCUAGAAGGUGGGGUAAGGGAUCACCGAGGCGACGAUCUCUAUCUGGUAUGAGAGUAUGAUCAGCCACACGGGGAUGGAGACACGGCCCAGACUCCUACGGGAGGCAGCAGUGGAGAAUAUUGCACAAUGGGCGCAAUCCUGAUGCAGCCAUGCCGCGUGUAUUAAGAAGGCCUUAGGGUUGUAAAGUACUUUCAGCGGGGAGGCGUUACCCGCAGAAGAAGCACAGGCUAACUCCGUGCCAGCAGCCGCGGUAAUUC
rnacentral:rRNA from 1 species